rnacentral:tRNA from 1 species
GGGCUCGUGGCGGAAUUGGCAGACGCGCUAGGUUGAGGGCCUAGUGUCCGCUUAGGACGUGCUGGUUCGACUCCAGUCGGGCCCAC